UGACUUGUGUCAACUCUGCAGACAUCAAGAGCAGAACAUAAAAGCAAGGCAACAGAGAGAUUUCUAAAUGAGCCAUUCAGCCUCUAAGGCAAGUAAUCUGGCAAGAACUCGAAUUCCAAGAGAGAAAGUCAGCCGGUCAGGUUUGUGCUCUACUGCUAGAGUCUUCAUUCAUUUUUUCCAGGGGAAAAAGAAAAUAUCACUGAAACAUCAUGUUUGUCAAUUAUGAUUAUGUCUUAUAAGAUGGAUUUAUUUUCUCUUAGACUAGCCCACAACUGUGAAAGCAGAAUCCCAAUCACCUGCUCAGGCUCAUUAGUGUCUUUGGAUCCUAACAACCCACUCAGUUGCAGUAAAUGAAAAACUAAUCCCUAUUUUAUGUCAUUGGCUGAAAAGGAUUAACCAACUCUUGCUGCCCAUGCAAUCAGCCUUGCAGCAGAGAGAUUACUGCCUUCUAAUACAGUAAGUCUACACAUUCCAAUCUGUUACAGAAGAAAUCCAGUUCUGCCUGUUCUAGAGGAAGUCCCUUCAAAUUACUCAGCACUCCCUGCUGGACAGCUGUCUUCUAACCAGCUAGCUGAGAGCUGAUGGAUGUCUUUUCAUCAAAUCUGCUUUGUGCUCUUCUGCUUUCACAUUUUUUCAAAUGGCACUAAAUAUAAUGGAAAGGGCCCUAUUCUACUUCCACUAUGUCGUAUAUUCAUCAUCUUUGCUGACUGGACAAUAGAAGGUAGAAUACCCUAACAAGAUGUUAAGAUGUUAACAAAAUUGAUCCUUUAGAAAAAAAUGUAACAACUAACAAAGAUGUUUAUUUCUAACCUUUUUAACACAUUAAAACAGUUAAUGAAUUUAUGAAUAUUGCAUUUAACAUAACAAAUACAUUCAAACAACUUUUAAUGCUACAGAAAAAUAGCUAAAUUUAUGUUAUACUAAGCUGUAUAGAACAGAAUUCUGCAUUAUUACAUGAAAAAGUGCUGUGUUGUUCUAAGUAGUGGCAGUAGCUUGGGCAAAACCAUCCACUACAUGCUUUGUUAUAGAUUAAUGUAUUCAAACUGGAAGCUUAAAGGUGCAUAACACACACUAAAUAAACUCAACAUG